GUAUGUUACCAGGCUUCAAAUCACAGUGCACCACAGCUAUCGGGCAAUGGUGAUGCAGAUAUUCCAGUGCAAGCGCCACGUCCAUCAUAAUGUGAAUUCUCUGAUUCAGGUUUAAGUAGUAGUUAUGAGAAUAUAGCCAUUUCUCAAGGCUCCCUUGCGGCAUAUAUUGAAGAAUUAGGGCUUUGACCUCUGGGCUAGAGCACGUGCUUAUAAUCUUAACUAGAUUUCUGUGCUUGGCAGUGCUCAGUACUUCGCAUUCUGCAUCAAAACUUGCCGACGCUUUGCUCGAUUGAAGGUUCAGUAUUUUAAUGGCAACGAGCAGUCCAUCAUCCAACCGACCUUUGUAGACCAACCCAAAACUUCCUGAACCGAGCAAGUUUGUCUCAUUGAAAUUGUCGGUUGCAUAAAUAAGCUCUUGGUACGAAAUUCUUCUGUGGUUUUUCACAUCCAACUGAUUAACAGUAGUAGUUGUCUUAAUCUUUUUUCUUUUAAACAUGAGUAGUAGGAGGAGGCCAGCUGAAAAGAUGACGACUGCUGCAAUUGUU
rnacentral:lncRNA from 1 species